CAGACUGCACAGAUGGAACAUGGAAAGGCUUUUAACAGAAAUGAAUACUUUCAGACUAGGUUUGAAGGACUGAGUAGGAGUAAACUAAAAGAGAAAAAGCAGGACAAAAGAAGCACCACUUUGGAAGCUCAAAGCCGCACUGGAAACACAGUCUUUCAGGAUGUCUGAAAGGGGCAAGUCUGUUUGUGUGGGGUAAGAAAUGCGGGGAGACAAACGGACAGUGGACAGAUUGCAGAGAGCUCUGUGUGCUGAGAGGAGGGUGCAGACCAGAUUUUUAAAUUGAGAAUGCAACAGUGAAGGAUUUCAAGCUUGGAGUGAGAGGGGAGACUACGAGCCUGCAGUGAUAAGGCAAAGCUGAAGAUUUCAGAGCCAAGGCCACACCCUACAGUUGCCAUGGAAUGGGGUGGCACAGUGGGCUUUGGAGAUAUACAGGGAGUCCACGGAGCCUCCCCUGCAAGCAUCAGUACAGAAGUCGAUGAUAAUCUGGAUGCAAGCCCAGGAGUGUGGAGUCCACUGACUCAGAAGACCUGCAUCUAAGGAAUUGGCUGUUCUUAUCCUUAAGAAUGAUGACUGUGUUUCCAAUUCCAGUAGACCCUUUGAUGCGUUCUGAAUAAAUAUUCCUUUUGGAAUUGAACUUCUAGAGCCCUUAACUUUGGCCCACUCUAGUUUUCUGUCUGUUUUUUUUUUUUUUAAUAUUUUUUUUUUGUAAAGAUAAGGUCUUGCUUUGUUGCCCAGGCUGGUCUUGAAUUCCUGGACUCAAGCAAUCCACCUGCCUUGGCCUCCCAAAGUGCUGGGAUUAUAGGUGUGAACCAUUGUGUCCGAUCGCUCUCUGGUUUUUCUAAUAUCAUGAUCCCAACUCUGUUCUUUAUGUAAAUUUCCCUGAUCACAUGGUUGUAUCUUGGCAUUUCAAAAUCCUUGACAGACUUUGUUUUGUUUGAAUUUUACAAUGAACUUACAUGACUAGGCACGGUCCCCAGUUCAGUUUUAUAGACAAGGAUUCUGUAGGUCAAGAAGUGAAACACAACCAAUAACAGCAGGUGACAGGAUUUAAACCUGGGUCACUUUACUUAUUUUUUUCUACUCUAUCAUUAUGUGAAUCUAUCCUACCUCUGCAAUGACAGAUGGCCCUAGAGCAAGAACACUUCCUUACAUCUGGUAUACAGUCAAAAAGUAAAAAUUCCACACAAAUAAAUAUGGAAAGAAUUUUUACCUGCUCCUAUAGCUUCCUUUCAGGGACCUGGCACCCACAAAUGUUGGGUAACAGAAAGAGGACUUAUGUAACUUAACUCAAAGCAGAAAAGUUACAGAGACUGUCUUAGCAUAAUAGAGCAUGGAGUGGUCAUGCUUGGAUGUGCAAACUGUCUGAUAGUCUUGCACAUGGCUUGACCCCGAAUUACACUAGUGGGGCAAGUUGCCUGGGGCAAAGCAAACUUAUUGGACCCAAAGCUCUCAUUUGAGAAUUUUGUUGACUAAAAGUUAUAAAAUAUCAGCAAUUUCAUAUGGUUCAGCCUAAUAUUUUAUCACUCUUCCUUUUUCUAUUCUAAAACAAUAAUUUUUAAUAACGUAAGCUAUACACAUACAUGCUUUAAACAUACAACACCCUGACUAUCAUAUAGUGGAUAUUUCAAGAAGUAAAUGUUCAGCAUGUCUUCACCCCCACUUGAAGACAUAAUGUAUGUAUUAGGCUGUUCUGGCAUUGCUAUAAAGAAAUACCUGAGACUGUGUAAUUUAUAAGAAAGGAGCUUUAAUUGGCUCACGGUUCUGCAGGCUGUACAGGAAACAUAUUGGGUCUACUUCUGUGGAGGCUUCAGGGAACUUUGACUCAUGGUGGAAGGUGAAAUGAGAGCAGGCACCUCAUGUGACUGAAGCAGGAGCAAGAAAGAGAGAGCGAGCAAGGUGCCACACACUCUUAAACAACCAGAACUCUCUCUUGAGAAUUCACUCACUGUCUUGCCGUCAGCACCAAAGGGAUGGUCCUAAACCAUUCAUGAGAAAUCCUCCUCCAUGAUCCAAUCACCUCUCACCAGGCCCUACCCCCAACACUGGGAUUACAAUUCAAC
rnacentral:lncRNA from 1 species